UACGGGGGGGGCAAGCGUUGUUCGGAAUUACUGGGCGUAAAGGGCUCGUAGGCGGCCAACUAAGUCGGACGUGAAAUCCCCAGGCUCAACCUGGGAACUGCGUCCGAUACUGGAUGGCUUGAAUUCGGGAGAGGGAUGCGGAAUUCCAGGUGUAGCGGUGAAAUGCGUAGAUAUCUGGAGGAACACCGGUGGCGAAGGCGGCAUCCUGGACCGACACUGACACUGAGGAGCGAAAGCCAGGGGAGCAAACGGG
rnacentral:rRNA from 1 species